rnacentral:rRNA from 1 species
GGCAGGCUUAACGCAUGCAAGUCGAGGGGCAGCAUGCUUUUAGCUUGCUAAGGCCGAUGGCGACCGGCGCACGGGUGAGUAACACGUAUCCAACCUGCCGUCUACUCUUGGACAGUCUUCUGAAAGGAAGAUUAAUACAAGAUGGCAUCAUGAGUCCGCAUGUUCACAUGAUUAAAGGUAUUCCGGUAGACGAUGGGGAUGCGUUCCAUUAGAUAGUAGGCGGGGUAACGGCCCACCUAGUCUUCGAUGGAUAGGGGUUCUGAGAGGAAGGUCCCCCACAUUGGAACUGAGACACGGUCCAAACUCCUACGGGAGGCAGCAGUGAGGAAUAUUGGUCAAUGGGCGAGAGCCUGAACCAGCCAAGUAGCGUGAAGGAUGACUGCCCUAUGGGUUGUAAACUUCUUUUAUAAAGGAAUAAAGUCGGGUAUGGAUACCCGUUUGCAUGUACUUUAUGAAUAAGGAUCGGCUAACUCCGUGCCAGCAGCCGCGGUAAUACGGAGGAUCCGAGCGUUAUCCGGAUUUAUUGGGUUUAAAGGGAGCGUAGAUGGAUGUUUAAGUCAGUUGUGAAAGUUUGCGGCUCAACCGUAAAAUUGCAGUUGAUACUGGAUAUCUUGAGUGCAGUUGAGGCAGGCGGAAUUCGUGGUGUAGCGGUGAAAUGCUUAGAUAUCACGAAGAACUCCGAUUGCGAAGGCAGCCUGCUAAGCUGCAACUGACAUUGAGGCUCGAAAGUGUGGGUAUCAAACAGGAUUAGAUACCCUGGUAGUCCACACGGUAAACGAUGAAUACUCGCUGUUUGCGAUAUACUGCAAGCGGCCAAGCGAAAGCGUUAAGUAUUCCACCUGGGGAGUACGCCGGCAACGGUGAAACUCAAAGGAAUUGACGGGGGCCCGCACAAGCGGAGGAACAUGUGGUUUAAUUCGAUGAUACGCGAGGAACCUUACCCGGGCUUAAAUUGCAGAUGAAUUACGGUGAAAGCCGUAAGCCGCAAGGCAUCUGCGAAGGUGCUGCAUGGUUGUCGUCAGCUCGUGCCGUGAGGUGUCGGCUUAAGUGCCAUAACGAGCGCAACCCUUGUUGUCAGUUACUAACAGGUUCCGCUGAGGACUCUGACAAGACUGCCAUCGUAAGAUGUGAGGAAGGUGGGGAUGACGUCAAAUCAGCACGGCCCUUACGUCCGGGGCUACACACGUGUUACAAUGGGGGGUACAGAGGGCCGCUACCACGCGAGUGGAUGCCAAUCCCCAAAACCUCUCUCAGUUCGGACUGGAGUCUGCAACCCGACUCCACGAAGCUGGAUUCGCUAGUAAUCGCGCAUCAGCCACGGCGCGGUGAAUACGUUCCCGGGCCUUGUACACACCGCCCGUCAAGCCAUGGGAGCCGGGGGUACCUGAAGUGCGUAACCGCGAGGAGCGCCCUAGGGUAAAACUGGUGACUGGGGC